rnacentral:rRNA from 1 species
GACGAACGCUGGCGGCGCGCCUAACACAUGCAAGUCGAACGAGCGAGAGAGAGCUUGCUUUCUUGAGCGAGUGGCGAACGGGUGAGUAACGCGUGAGGAACCUGCCUCAAAGAGGGGGACAACAGUUGGAAACGACUGCUAAUACCGCAUAAGCCCACGGUGCCGCAUGGCACAGAGGGAAAAGGAGCAAUCCGCUUUGAGAUGGCCUCGCGUCCGAUUAGCUAGUUGGUGAGGUAACGGCCCACCACGGCGACGAUCGGUAGCCGGACUGAGAGGUUGAACGGCCACAUUGGGACUGAGACACGGCCCAGACUCCUACGGGAGGCAGCAGUGGGGAAUAUUGCACAAUGGGGGAAACCCUGAUGCAGCGACGCCGCGUGGAGGAAGAAGGUCUUCGGAUUGUAAACUCCUGUUGUUGGGGAAGAUAAUGACGGUACCCAACAAGGAAGUGACGGCUAACUACGUG